UACGUAGGGUGCGAGCGUUGUCCGGAAUUAUUGGGCGUAAAGAGCUUGUAGGCGGUUUGUCGCGUCUGCUGUGAAAAUCCGGGGCUCAACCCCGGACUUGCAGUGGGUACGGGCAGACUAGAGUGUGGUAGGGGAGACUGGAAUUCCUGGUGUAGCGGUGGAAUGCGCAGAUAUCAGGAGGAACACCGAUGGCGAAGGCAGGUCUCUGGGCCACUACUGACGCUGAGAAGCGAAAGCGUGGGGAGCAAACAGG
rnacentral:rRNA from 1 species